AGUUACAAUUCGUUCAGAUUUUGAUUGUGUUCUGUGCCAAAACCACUAGUGUUGAAAAGAAAAUUUUCUCCAUUUUUAUGUGUUUUUUUAUGUUAAUGACUUCUGCCUUUUCAAAUCCGUUGUAGCGCAAAUUACCAUCUUAGCCCCCUUCAAACUCUCUCUCUCUCUCUCUCCCUAACCAGAAUCCAGAAACCCUAACCGGCAUGGGAGAAGAUCGUCGGAUUUACGUCCAUAAAUCUCUUGGCGGUGGUGCAGUUGCCGAUGUGUUGUUGUGGAAGAGACGGUGUGGAGCGGUUGUUCUGCUAGUCUCUGCCACCUCCCUGUGGUUCCUAUUUGAGAAAGCCGGCUACAACAUCCUAUCGUUCACCGCAAAUGUCAUAUUGCUUCUUGUUGCAAUCCUCUUCUUCUGGGCUAAAUCAGCUUCACUUCUCAAUAGACCUCUGCCUCCCAUUCCUGAUCUGGAAAUUUCUGAGGAAUCCAUUUUGAAGGCUGCUGACAUUCUCCAGGUGUGGACCAAUCAAGCAUUGUCGGUUGCACGUGACAUUUCAGUUGGUGGAAAUUUGAAACUUUUUUUGAAGGUUGUUUUUGGGUUGUGGUUUAUAUCUUACAUUGGUAGUUUCUUCAACUUCCUUACACUGCUCUACAUUGGGGUUCUUCUUAGUAUGUCAGUUCCUGUGUUGUAUCACAAAUACCAGGAUCAAGUUGAUGAAAAGUUGAUGGUAGCUCAUAAAACCAUUCACACACAGUACAGGAAAAUCGAUAACAAUAUCUUACAAAAGAUUCCAAUGGUCCGUAACAAGGAAAAGAAAGCUCAGUAGUCCAAGUUUCUUUUUGCUGGACACUCAUAAUCGAUAGCAACCAAGUCAUCAUGGGAAAUCAUCAGGAGGAGCUGGACUGGCCACUGUUUGCUUAUACAUUUUUGAAGAGUAUUGCAUAUUCCGUUGUAUUUUUUCUCGUCUUUGCUACUCAUACCUGAUGGAUAAAUUGGUUUAUUAUCCAUUGGAAAAGUUUCUUCCCUGAUGGAAUUAUGGAUUUGUUUGCUGGAAAUUUAACCAUAAAUAUACAACACCUUGUUAAACUAA